CAGCAGACGAGUCCUAAACAGGACGAAACGCACGUCUUG
rnacentral:hammerhead_ribozyme from 1 species